GCCCAUCAGAGGCCCAUUAGGCCAGAUUCUUCCACAAAUGCCCAUAGGACGAGAAGAGCCAGGUGCCUUUGAGGAGUCUGAAAGGAAGGAAACAUCGUGCCUCGGAAGAGUCUGAGGAGACUGGCGCCUACCAGGGGGACUGAGGAGGACUAGGGCCUCCCGUCAUUCCUGCCCGGGCCCCGGGAGGGGCUGGAGGACAGACAGAAGUGACCACGCAGGCUAAUUCAGAGUGUUCGUUCAUCCACGUGUUCACUCAAGUCCCAUUCCUUGAGUCCCAGCACUGCUGUAGGGCCUGGGGGCUACCAGAUGGGUCCCUGCCCUCGUGGAGCUCGAGAUGAUGGGAAGGCUUCGGUGGGCUCAGAACAUGGAGGUGAUGUGAUCUGAUUGCUGUUUUAAAAUGACCACCCUGGCUGCAGGAAGGAGAACGGGAUGCUUUUGGCAGAGGAGGCCCGAAGGGUGAAGUGCUCUUCAUCCUUCGAAGUCCAGUUCAAGCGGCCCCUCCUCCGUGAAGCCUUCCCUGGACACUCCCUCCACACCA